UGAGCCCAUCUAAGUCCAAAGCAGAGAACAAAGUAGGCCCACUUCUCAUAUUGGACCUUUCUUUCAUGGAAGAGCGAACGCGGAGCCUUCGCUCGUUUGAGGAAUUGGGAAAUGGGAAUGAAGAAAUCGGAGAAUUUCAGCGUUCAUAAUCCUGAAAUAAAUAGGAUUUUUGUGAAGAUGUAGGCCGGGAAUUCCUGUCAGGUUUGGCAUCUGAGUUAGCGACGUUUCUGUUCGGAAUUCAGUCACUAGAGCUGUUCUCAAGCAUCUAUCAAAUUUUGAUGGCCUUUACAGGUCUGGAAGAAAAUGAUGAGAAGGAUAAAAGAAUAAACCCAGGUGGUGUUCAAUAUAUCGAUUCAGAGCUACCAGAAACAAGAAACAAGCAAUAACCUCCACCAACUUGAGAUGUUCUCUUUCCUCCAAAUGCUAAAUCCUUGAAAUUAGGAAGGAAAACAGAUAUCUAGUUGGGGGCAGACAAAAUCACAAGAAUGGCUUCAAGCAGUUCAAAUUUGGUUCUUAUAUGGUGAUAUAGUAUUAGUUCAAACCAGACUGGCUUCGCAUUAAGUAACCACUAACUGGCUGUAUGUUGUAAUGCAGAUCACAGAUUUUAAAUUUGUUGAUAGAAUACCAGACUUUAUGUGACUAAAGAUGUGGAAAUUUUGCGUAUGCCGGAUGGUGAAACUUAGAUAUUGAAUCGUCGAAUUUCAAAGUUCCUCACUGAUGUGAAGCCUAUCAAUCGAACAUGGUCAUAUAUUUGGAUAAAUAGUUUUCACCGCUGCUAGACUGAAUCUUUAUACUAAUGACAUUUCAGGUUUCCUUCUUCUAGGCCCGUUAGUGUUUUUUAUAAACUCCGGGUUUGCUUGAUCACUUCUCGCCUUUCAGUAUAUUAAAUUUUCAUGACGAUAGGCCAGAUGAACAUGUUUGCUCGGAGUUGUCUUUUAGAUGUACAUGAGGCUGGAUUUAGGGGAGAUAGGUAGAUGUCUACAUCUACAGCAUCAAUUUCCUUGGUUUGAUUACAGCAGGCUUGAACAAGUCAUCAGUUCCUUCUUCAGAUUUUCGAUCUUGCAAUUAAAAUUCUCAGCAUCAGUUUAUUUCCCUCCGAUGGAUCUCUAAGACAUGACAAGGAGAAGUGCAAGGAUUUAAAGAAGAUGGUGUCCUUGCAUGUGAAAGGAAGGAAGAACAGUAGCUAGGCAGAAUAGAGACUGUUGUUGAAGUAAUCAGAACUGAAACAAUUUGAUUUUCCAUUGAGGUUUACUUGAAAACAUAGUGAGGAAAAACAUGAAGGAUAGGAACCACGAACCUCCACAAUGGAUCUCACGAUAUGGUUGAUGGAUGCACAUCUGUUCCCAAAUUCUAUUAUGAAACCUCACCUCUUGGGUCAUCUUAAAGGCCAACCAGCAAUAGGGUCCACUAUUUUGGGCCUCUUAUCUUGCUUAAAAAUUAAAGUUUUCCAUGAAGCGAAGCUUGUACUGUUUCUUGGGGUCCUUUCCAAUUUCAGCUCAAUCAAUUUUAGCAGCUCUUGUGAUUACAUGUUUCUUUGAAGCUUAAACCAAGUAAUGGACAUUGAAGACCUAAUCAAGACACAUAAAAUCAAACCCAUUUGGCGAAAUAUAGGAAAGAAGAAAGAAAAGUAGAAAGAAGACCCAAUCGGGGUUAACUUCAUUUUAGUCUACAAGUUGUUGUAAUGAUAUUGUUGCCUUCUUUACCAAACCCAUUUGUGAAGAAGCUAGACCCUAAAAAUGCCUAAAAAAAAGGGGAUUUACACUUUGGAUUGACAAGAAAAUUUGAGGCCUCUAUUUGGUUUUGGUUAAACAUAUUCAAUCACUCUCUCUCU